rnacentral:lncRNA from 1 species
AGUAUGAAGCAAAUCUACACUAAGUAAAAAUAUAUAUAGUCAAAUAUUUAAUAUCAAGUUUAGUUUUAAACGAGUCCCUCGCAUGAGGUCACAUUCACAAAUUUUAGUACACAUACAAUUUCGACAAGACUUAAAUAUAAUAUAUAAUUUAUUAAUUUCUGUAGAAGUAAUUCGCGAGAUCAUGUACCUCUCUUUCCUAGCUAUAAAGGAAAAAGGUCCAGUUGGUUAGAUCCAACCUAUUCUUGAAAUAAACAACUCACACACACUCCAUUUCCAAAAAAAGAUCAAUACACCAAUCACUACACUUAGAUUUAUUGGAUUUGUUGCUAAAAUAUCGGUAUUAAAGCCGAAACUCCCGGCAGAUGGCCAGUGGCCCAAAGAAACGAAAGAAUCGGUUACAUUUUUCAUAGAAUCUCCUCUUAUAGAUAGACUCAAAAAUCGAUCAGAGUUCUUUUUGUACCACUUUGCCUUUUUUUUUUUUUUUUUUAUCGAGUCAAAAAAUAUUUGAGUUAUAAGGUAUGAACUACCCCCUUGUUGUCGAUCACCUUGUUCUGGUAGCACAUCGAAUAGUCUAAAAAUUUAAUUUGAAAUUAGAUUUGCAUGUGUCUUUU